UACGGAGGGUGCGAGCGUUGUCCGGAAUUAUUGGGCGUAAAGAGCGUGUAGGCGGCCCGACCAGUCCGCUGUGAAAGUCCAGGGCUCAACCCUGGAAUGCCGGUGGAUACUGUCGGGCUAGAGUCCGGAAUGGGCGAGUGGAAUUCCUGGUGUAGCGGUGAAAUGCGCAGAUAUCAGGAGGAACACCAAUGGCGAAGGCAGCUCGCUGGGACGUGACUGACGCUGAGGUGCGAAAGCGUGGGGAGCAAACAGG
rnacentral:rRNA from 1 species